rnacentral:rRNA from 1 species
AGUGAACGCUGGCGAUAGGCCUAACACAUGCAAGUCGAACGGCAGCACAGUAAGAGCUUGCUCUUACGGGUGGCGAGUGGCGGGCGGGUGAGGAAUACAUCGGAAUCUACUUUUUCGUGGGGGAUAACGUAGGGAAACUUACGCUAAUACCGCAUACGACCUACGGGUGAGAGCAGGGGAUCUUCGGACCUUGCGCGAUUGAAUGAGCCGAUGUCGGAUUAGCUAGUUGGCGGGGUAAAGGCCCACCAAGGCGACGAUCCGUAGCUGGUCUGAGAGGAUGAUCAGCCACACUGGAACUGAGACACGGUCCAGACUCCUACGGGAGGCAGCAGUGGGGAAUAUUGGACAAUGGGCGCAAGCCUGAUCCAGCCAUACCGCGUGGGUGAAGAAGGCCUUCGGGUUGUAAAGCCCUUUUGUUGGGAAAGAAAAGCAGCAGGUUAAUACCCCGCUGUUCUGACGGUACCCAAAGAAUAAGCACCGGCUAACUUCGUG